CAGAGUGAGAAAUCCAAGAAGGUGGCUGUGUCCUUGUCCUCUAUGACUUCACAUCUGAAGUCACACAUCAUGCCUUCUGCAGUGUUCUAUGAGUCAUAUGGUUCAUCCUGAUUUAGGCUGUAAGCAGAUUGCAUCAUGGCGCGGAUACCAGGAGAGGAACAUCUGAGGCUGCGCAAUCUCUAAGGAAAAGAGGUUUAUUUGGCUCACUGCUCUGUGGGCUGUACAAGAAGCAUGGCACCAGCAUCUGCUCCUGGUGAGAGGCUCAGGCUGCUUCCACUCAUGGCAGAAGCUUGCUCUGGCUAACAACCACUAUCAUCAAAGUUGUCUGAGGAAGACCUCCUGUUGCUGUGACUGACGGGACUCUUGGUGGAAGCCCUAUUCCCAUGUGCCCAUGGCUGCAGCUCCCCAAGGAAGCAGGACAUUGUUGGAUUCUCUAAGAAGCUCAGAGGAAGUUACUUCUCACUGUGGUGCCAUAUGGGAUUUGAAGUCGUUCUACUCAUGCUCUGUUUUUCAAUAAAGCUGCUUCUGCCUCUGUCUUCUGUGCCGUGUCUCCUAAAAGUGAUGAGAUGGCUCCUAUAACUAUAACUGAAAUUUCCUUGGGAAAAG
rnacentral:lncRNA from 1 species